CCUGGUUUAGAUCUGAGACUCCAUUUCAGUCGCGCUGUUGCCGGUUAGCUUGCUAGCUAGCUAGCAUCUUCCUCCAUUUUGUCUACUGACUUUAGUUUCUCAGACUGACUUGCCCACUUUGUUCUCAAAAAGUUCAUUUAUUCUAAAACAUGCCAGCUAACUCGAUCCGAAAGCAAUGAAAUUAUUUGCUGAAGUCGGAGCUCGCGUCUUGUUGUUUCGUCUCUCGUGGUUGCGUUGGUUCUCAUCAUCACUCGGUUCUCUCUGUCUUCCUUGUCUCUAUCUCUCCUAUUGUCUCCUUCUCUAUGUCUGUCCAAGUCUUUUUCCCCUCCUCGGAGUACCUCCUUCUCUCGCUCUUUCCACCUCUUUUCCGACCGUAUAUAUAUUUUCUGCUAUUUUACAGAUUUAUUUCUUGCAGCGUAGCGCUGAUUUGAUAAACAGAGGCCGGUUAAAGCCUUGACUCUGCCGUAGUAGCGAUGGGUGAUGUUUUAUAAAGUUUAUAGAGCUUAUAAACAGCUCUUGUGAUGGAGUUUUACAUCCUGCUGCAGUUUGCGCCUUUGUUUUUGGACUUAAUGGCCCAUUUUUCACUCGUUUAACCUGCACAGCGUGCGCGCACUCGGUCUGCCGGAUCUGCAGCCUAUCAACCGGACUUUUAUGUAAAUUUACUCACAAAAGUUUGUCUUCAUGCCUUUAAACGCAGCCUAUAGGACGCAGACUCGCUCUCCUCGGGCGGAUGAUUUAGCUUUAUGCUAUGUUUAUCGCGCGCUCCGUGUCGCUGUGAUUUAAAUCGGCCAUUUUGGGUUAUUAGCUGCUAGGGUUAAGCAUGUCUAGGAGCACAAGCGGAGAGCGUAAAACACUUAGCGGCUAAUUUUAUAAGUCGCUUGUUUUCCUUAUCGACAUUUUUGUAGUUUGCUGUAAACCGUGUGAAUCGAGACACAUUAAACGUAAUAACAAUUUCAACACUGGAGCUCUCGGGCUGCGCCCCAAAAAACUCUGGGGAUUGAAAGACGAGUUCUGUUAAACGAGAACUCGGUGAAGGGAAAGUAAUAAAAGAACAAAUCCUCCCAUCUGCUGAAACAUUCCACUGAAGUGGCGCCAACGGUCUUCACCGUGUUCAGAAGACGAGAAGACAGAAAGUCAGCCAUCAUACCGUGAAGUUCAUUCCUGCUGGACGAGAGCGGAGGAGCGGAGGAUGUUAAAGGUCUUGAUUAAGGGUCCAACAGCGGAAGUUUUUCUCAUCACGACCUUCAGAGCAGUAGACCAGAACCUUCACCACGGGUCUCCCACAAGUUCUGGAGCGGUGCGAUGGAAAAGGCAUUGGGGAAACUCCGAGAUCACAUCCUGACAUUUCGUAUCCGUCCCGGUGUCCUGCUGUUUUCGGGGGAGAAGAACAGAACUUGUCUCGACUUUUACAGAGGUUUUAUUAUAAGCCUCGGGAAAUCUCAGCCAUUAUUAGCGUUAAAGCUUGAUUACAGUUUUUCUCACAACGGGCCUGAUACUUCGAUUUUUUUCUACAUUUUUGCAGGAGAGCGUGACAAAGCAGUUCCCCGUAAACAUUCUCCCCGUGUUUAUUUUAUACACAAGUGGCGGAAAUAGCUGCUUCCUGAGGUGAUCCGAGGUGAUCCGAGGAUCUGUUCCCUCUGCCGUCAGGAUCCAGGACGAUGAAGAACAUUACACGCCGUGAAGAUUCCUAUCUGCUCCUGAACACGCUUAAAGACAAACGAGAGGUUGUGUAGAGUCUCUCGCCAGCUAUAA
ensembl:lncRNA